UACAGAGGGUGCAAGCGUUAAUCGGAAUUACUGGGCGUAAAGCGUGCGUAGACGGUUACAUAAGUCGGGUGUGAAAGCCCCGGGCUCAACCUGGGAAUUGCAUUCGAGACUGCGUAGCUAGGGUGCGGAAGAGGGAAGCGGAAUUUCCGGUGUAGCGGUGAAAUGCGUAGAUAUCGGAAGGAACACCAAUGGCGAAAGCGGCUUCCUGGUCCAGCACCGACAUUCAGGCACGAAAGCGUGGGGAGCAAACAGG
rnacentral:rRNA from 1 species